rnacentral:rRNA from 1 species
UACGUAGGUGGCGAGCGUUGUCCGGAAUUACUGGGUGUAAAGCGCGUGUAGGCGGGAGGCCAAGUCUGCGGUGAAAUCGCUCGGCUCAACUGGGAGCAGCCAUUGGAAACUACAGAACUGGAGUCUGACAGAGGUAGGCGGAAUUCCGGGUGGAGUGGUGAAAUGCGUAGAGAGUCCGGAGGAACACCAGAGGCGAAGGCGGCCUACUGGGUCAGUACUGGACGCUGAGGCCGCGAAAGCCAGGGAGCGGAACGGG